rnacentral:rRNA from 1 species
AUGCCUAACACAUGCAAGUCGAGCGGUAGAGAGGUGCUUGCAUCUCUUGAGAGCGGCGGACGGGUGAGUAAUGCCUAGGAAUCUGCCUAGUGGUGGGGGAUAACGUUCGGAAACGGACGCUAAUACCGCAUACGUCCUACGGGAGAAAGCGGGGGAUCUUCGGACCUCGCGCUAUUAGAUGAGCCUAGGUCGGAUUAGCUAGUUGGUGAGGUAAUGGCUCACCAAGGCGACGAUCCGUAACUGGUCUGAGAGGAUGAUCAGUCACACUGGAACUGAGACACGGUCCAGACUCCUACGGGAGGCAGCAGUGGGGAAUAUUGGACAAUGGGCGAAAGCCUGAUCCAGCCAUGCCGCGUGUGUGAAGAAGGUCUUCGGAUUGUAAAGCACUUUAAGUUGGGAGGAAGGGUAGUAACCUAAUACGUUGCUACUUUGACGUUACCGACAGAAUAAGCACCGGCUAACUUCGUG